UCGAGAGCGAGACAUUAAGUAAUAUAUUGUAACAACAUGAGGGCCGUAGGCCCGAAUGUUUUUACAAUAUAUUACGCAAUGUCGUAAGCUCGAGACCAUUAAACAUCUUAAAAUACUGACACUCCGCACGAGCUUUUACGUCACACUAGUCCAAUAUCUCACUGGUAUGAAUAAAGUACUAUUGGCAAGUUGCCCGUACGAUUAUUUGAAAUAAUGGUACGCCAACAUCAAAGGGUGACGUCACAUCUGUAUUUUAAAAUAUUAUAUUGCACUUUACGGGGAGAUUGCACACGGACUAAUAAACAAGGGUGUGUUGUCUGAUGCUGUGCUUAUGGCUUCGUUAGCUAACAAAGUUAUCCUUAUAACCGGUUCCAGUGCUGGUAUUGGUGCAGGGAUCGCUGUUCAUCUCGCCCCUCUACAGCCUAAAUUAGUUUUAACCGGACGUAAUAAAGAAAACUUGAACAAAAUAGCAGAAAAAUGUCAAAACGCGGGACUUUCAGCUGAAAAGAUUCACACCAUAACAGCCGAUAUUAAAAAAGAUGAAGAUUUGAAAAACUUGAUAGAUGGCACUGCCAAAAAAUUUAAUGGAUUAGAUGUGUUGGUAAACAAUGCAGGAAUAAAUUAUUAUAAAACUACGCAAGAAACUCAGAUGCCCAAAUUUGAUGAAAUCAUGGCGAUCAAUGUCAGGGCACCGUUUCAAUUAGCUCAGCUGGCUAUACCACAUCUCAUAAAAACAAAAGGUACAAUUAUCAACAUUUCCAGUGCUUUGGGACAGAAAGGGAUACCCCAAGCUACAGCUUAUUGUAUGGGUAAAUCGUCCAUUGACCAUUUCACAAAAUUAUUAGCAGCAGAACUUGGACCCCAUCGAGUACGUGUUAAUUCGGUGAGUCCUGGAUUUACUAGAUCAGAACUUCAACUUAGAGCAGGGAUGCCAAAGGAACAAUUAGAGGAUUACAUCAAAGCCCAGAGUUAUCUAACAGCAUUAGGCCGAGCUGGAGAACCAGAUGACAUAGCUAAAUGUGUCAAGUUUCUAGCUUCAGAUGAAGCUUCUUUUAUAACUGGAGAAAAUGUUCUGGUUGAUGGCGGAAGGAAUAUUGCAGUACCCAAAUUCAACAUAUCUGGAAACUAAGAAUAUAUUAUGUUGUUUAAGACAAAUUAAUAACAUUGUUAUAACAAGUCAUAUGUGGAAACUUAAGAACUCAUUACAUUGUUUAAGACAAAUAAAUAUAUGCCUAACAUUGUUGAUACAACCAUAUCGAUU